rnacentral:rRNA from 1 species
CGGACGGGUGAGUAACACGUGGAUAACCUACCUAUAAGACAGGGAUAACUUCGGGAAACCGGAGCUAAUACCGGAUAAUAUUUUGAACCGCAUGGUUCAAAGUGAAAGACGGUCUUGCUGUCACUUAUAUAUGGAUCCGCGCUGCAUUAGCUAGUUGGUAAGGUAACGGCUUACCAAGGCAACGAUGCAUAGCCGACCUGAGAGGGUGAUCGGCCACACUGGAACUGAGACACGGUCCAG